GGCCUUAUGGUGUAAUGGUAACAUCCCUAGUUCUAUAUUAGGAGGUUGUGGGUUCAACUCCCACUAGGGCCC
rnacentral:tRNA from 1 species